rnacentral:rRNA from 1 species
GGGAGACCCAUGUUGUGGCGAGCCUCAAAACCGCCACAGCAUGUGUCUCACGAUGAGGGGGAGCACUUUCGUGUCCGCUGGUUAACAUCAAUUUCGAACGUCAUAAAAAGGCUGGAGGGAUGUGGCUCCUUCGGGAGUGUUAUAGCCCUUGGUAGAUGUGAUGUCUGGGAUCGAGGAUUGCAACGGAUACCCUUCGGGGCUAGCCGCCUGAUCUCUAAUUGGUGUUGGGUUACGGACAGCAUGCUGAUCGUGAUCUAAUUACUGGUUAAAAGGUUAGAGCGUGCAUAAA